rnacentral:rRNA from 1 species
AGCGAACGCUGGCGGCAGGCCUAAUACAUGCAAGUCGAACGGCUCUUCGGAGCAGUGGCGGACGGGUGAGUAACGCGUGGGAAUGUGCCCUUUGGUACGGAACAACACAGGGAAACUUGUGCUAAUACCGUAUGUGCCCUUCGGGGGAAAGAUUUAUCGCCAUUGGAGCAGCCCGCGUUGGAUUAGGUAGUUGGUGAGGUAGAGGCUCACCAAGCCUACGAUCCAUAGCUGGUCUGAGAGGAUGACCAGCCACACUGGGACUGAGACACGGCCCAGACUCCUACGGGAGGCAGCAGUAGGGAAUCUUGCGCAAUGGGCGAAAGCCUGACGCAGCCAUGCCGCGUGUAUGAUGAAGGUCUUAGGAUUGUAAAAUACUUUCACCGGGGAAGAUAAUGACGGUACCCGGAGAAGAAGCCCCGGCUAACUUCGUGCCAGCCGCCGCAGUAAAAC